AACUUAAAGGUACAAGAUUGUUCAGAAUACACAUACUAUAAGAAAAUAUGAAGUGUAUCCUAUAAUACCUUACAGGGCAAAAUAUAUAAAAUUCAACGUGGCAGUCAACGUGUUAAUCUGUGAAAAUGCAGAACCGAGGAGAGGGAAGCGUGUCUAUCUUGAAGCUCGAAGAAUGAUCCACGAUCAGGCUAGUCGUGAAGAUGCUUUCGAAUCCCGUAGCGAGCGUCGUUUGUUAUACGGUGGAUGGGUAUCAAUUACGCGAAUACCGGCGAUUGAUUGUGCAUUGGCACCGUUCGAACGUGACGGAGAUGCACAAAGCGCUGGAGGGACGAUGUUAUACCCGAGGGCAUCGAUCGACGAUGAUUCAGAAACGUUCCCAUGCUAUCUAAAUUCUAAAUAGAAUCUCGGUAGAAUCGAUGCCGAGGCGUCGGCUGCCAGUCGGAUUCAGAGAGACGUUCGAUGAUGAAAUCCAGCUUUGGUUUAUUAAUCUCUGCUUAGACCAAGUGUUAGAUCCAUACGGUGAACUGUUACUUCUGAUAUCUUCUUUGUUGCAACUAAUGAGAUCGUUUCUUCUUCGGUGCUUCACUUUUUCCUACCUUUUUCUUCGCUUUAAAACACCUUCUACGAACGCGUGUUUAAUAUAACUAUGUAAUGAGUUAGUACAGAGAGAAUUAAGGCCCAAAAUAUUGAAAUUCAUCCGUAAUAUUAUAAAUACGAAGCAUGCAUUAGUUUCGAUAGUUCCAAGCGUAGUAAGAGAAGCUGAAAAUGUGUAAAAAUCUUAAUGUCGAUAAUAAUUGCUGUUGAAAAUUCUGCCUGGGGAAUUUUUAUAUACUCGUUAAUGAAAAUUUCCAAGUUCGAUGUAUGCAUAUAAUAAAAGAACAAGCAAGAUAAUAAUACGAAAUAGUACAACGAUUGACACAGAACGAUGGAGAAAAUAUCAGCAAUUUUGAAGAUAGCGAUAAUUAUGAUACAAUAAGUAAUAAUUUUAGGUACUUUGAAUGAAAUAUAUAUGCAUGAGCUAGCUGAACUUCAUAAGAUACAGAUGAUGAUAUGUACCUGUAUUAGAUGGCUGAAUAAUUCAAUGCUUUCAGUACAGGAAAUGAGAAUACUUAAAUAAUUCGUCGAUUAUGGAUGAUUAGAAUAUAACAACUAUAAACACUGAUUACGAUUUAUUAUAUAAGCUUUUCGAGUUUCUCGUUGUCCUGAGACGAUCGAACGAUACCCAUUAAAGUAGGAAUUUACAUAGGAUCUGCAGUUGAUCGUUGACGGAACUGUGAGCUCUCGAGGGAAGAACGAAGUGUUGCGUGAUUGUUUCACGAGAAGGAAAAACGUGAGAGAGCAAUUCGUUGAAUGCUAGUUAAUUUAACGGUGAUUAGAGUUAUAGUGCCGGCAAAUGAAGCAUGUUGCGGUGUACCUUUACGGCUGGUUUAUUGAAACAAAAUGAACGAACAAUUCUUCCGAAGAUUCGUUACUCACAGAAAGAACUUGUUGAAAGGUCUUUGAGCAUUUUUGUGAACACGGCUGAAGAAAUGGAAUC